GUACUAAAGGCAUACUAAAAAGUACAAAGCGUACUAGGUAGGCACUAAUCUAUUCCUUUAUUGAGAUAACUUUUUUUACGAAGUAAAUAUAUUAGCUUAUUAUGAUCAUUAUUAUUUGUAGCCUUUGAGGAAAGACAAUUUCGUGUGGCUCGGGAACGCUCUUCAUUUUAGCUUCGAUGCGAAGCUGAGAAGAUAAUGAGACAUAACAAGUGAAAUAGAUAAUACAGAUGAUUUCAUACAACAAACAUUUUAUCUUCAAAAAAGAAAGAAAAAUAAAAAUCAUAAGAAUAAUAACAGUACUCGCUUAUUAUAUUAUCUGUUUUUAUGGAAACCUAGAGUCAGAAAUUCAACUCUUUCAUUAGAUACUGAA